rnacentral:rRNA from 1 species
AACGAACGCUGGCGGCGCGUUUUAAGCAUGCAAGUCGAACGGCAAGGAGAGUAGCAAUACUUUCCCUAGAGUGGCGAACGGGUGAGUAACACGUAGGUGGUCUACCCCUGGAUGGGGGAUAGUCCGUGGAAACACGGGGUAAUACCGCAUGAGGCCUUGGGGGUAAAGCCCUGAGGUGAAAGCUCCAACUGGAGCGUCUGGGGAUGAGCCUGCGGCCCAUUAGGCAGUUGGCGGGGUAAAGGCCCACCAAACCGACGAUGGGUAGCCGGCCUGAGAGGGUGUACGGCCACACUGGAACGGAGACACGGUCCAGACUCCUACGGGAGGCAGCAGCUAAGAAUCUUCCGCAAUGGGGGAAACCCUGACGGAGCGACGCCGCGUGAACGAUGAAGGCCGUAAGGUUGUAAAGUCCUUUUGCGGGCGAAGAAUAAGGCGGGGAGUGGAAAGCCCCGCUGAUGACGUUAGCCCGCGAAUAAGCCCCGGCCAAUUACGUGCCAGCCGCCGCGGUAAAAC